CCUACGGGUGGCAGCAGUCGAGAAUCAUUCACAAUGGGGGAAACCCUGAUGGUGCGACGCCGCGUGGGGGAAUGAAGGUCUUCGGAUUGUAAACCCCUGUCAUGUGGGAGCAAAUUAAAAAGAUAGUACCACAAGAGGAAGAGACGGCUAACUCUGUGCCAGCAGCCGCGGUAAUACAGAGGUCUUAAGCGUUGUUCGGGAUCACUGGGCGUAAAGCGUGCGUAGGCUGUUUCGUAAGUCGUGUGUGAAAGGCGCGGGCUCAACCCGCGGACGGCACAUGAUACUGCGAGACUAGAGUGAUGGAGGGGGAACCGGAAUUCUCGGUGUAGCAGUGAAAUGCGUAGAUAUCGAGAGGAACACUCGUGGCGAAGGCGGGUUCCUGGACAUUAACUGACGCUGAGGCACGAAGGCCAGGGGAGCGAAAGGGAUUAGAUACCCGUGUAGUC
rnacentral:rRNA from 1 species